CCUACGGGUGGCUGCAGUGAGGAAUAUUGGUCAAUGGACGAGAGUCUGAACCAGCCAAGUAGCGUGAAGGAUGACUGCCCUAUGGGUUGUCAACUUCUUUUAUAAAGGCAUAAAACGAGGCGCGUGUGCCUUUUUGCAUGUACUUUAUGAAUACGAAUCGGCUAACUCCGUGCCAGCAGCCGCGCUAAUACGGAGGAUCCGAGCGUUAGCCGGAUUGUUUGGGUUUAAGGGGACCGUAGAAGGGUUGUUACGUCAGUUGUGAAAGUUUGCGGCUCAACCGUAGAAUUGCAAUGGAUACUGGCAGUCUUGAGUACAGUCGAGGUAGGCGGAAUGCGUGGUGUAGCGGUGAAAUGCUGAGAUAUCACGAAGAACCCCGAUUGCGAAGGCAGCUUACUAAACUGUGACUGACAUUGAUGCUCGAAAGUGUGGGUAUCAAACAGGAUUAGAUACCCCUGUAGUC
rnacentral:rRNA from 1 species